UACGUAGGGUGCGAGCGUUAAUCGGAAUUACUGGGCGUAAAGCGUGCGCAGGCGGUUCGUUGUGUCGGCGGUGAAAGCCCCGGGCUCAACCUGGGAACUGCAUUGGAAACUAACGGGCUCGAGUGUGGCAGAGGGGGGUGGAAUUCCACGUGUAGCAGUGAAAUGCGUAGAGAUGUGGAGGAACACCGAUGGCGAAGGCAGCCCCCUGGGCUAACACUGACGCUCAGGCACGAAAGCGUGGGGAGCAAACAGG
rnacentral:rRNA from 1 species